UAGAGUGCGCAUCUUACAUAUUUCAGCGAAAAGUUACUUGUUUACCUUUUAAAUAAAUUAAGGAAAACUAAAGUAAGUAUGAGUAAACAUU